GUGUGCGAGUGUGUGUGCGCCGGGCGGGCGGGCACUGCAGCUUCUUCCUCCGUGGAGCGGAGAGCGAGAGAGAGCUAGAGCGAACGAGAGAGCGGCGAAGGCGGGUAGAGGGGCGCGGGCGAGGCGGCGCAGCCAUCCCCGGACCAGGGGCCGCGCCGCCACCAUGCUAAACAACCUGACAGACUGCGAGGACGGCGAUGGGGGAGCCAACCCGGGUGAUGGCAACCCCAAGGAAAGCAGUCCCUUCAUCAACAGCACUGACACAGAGAAGGGAAAGGAGUAUGAUGGCAAGAACAUGGCCUUGUUUGAGGAGGAGAUGGACACCAGCCCUAUGGUGUCCUCCUUGCUCAGUGGCCUGGCCAACUAUACCAACCUGCCCCAGGGAAGUAGGGAGCAUGAAGAGGCAGAAAACAAUGAGGGUGGAAAAAAGAAGCCGGUGCAGGCCCCACGCAUGGGCACCUUCAUGGGCGUGUACCUGCCAUGCCUGCAGAACAUCUUUGGCGUCAUCCUCUUCCUGCGGCUCACCUGGGUGGUGGGCAUUGCAGGCAUCAUGGAGUCCUUCUGUAUGGUGUUCAUCUGCUGCUCCUGUACGAUGCUCACGGCCAUCUCCAUGAGUGCAAUUGCAACGAAUGGUGUUGUGCCUGCUGGUGGCUCCUACUACAUGAUUUCCAGGUCUCUGGGCCCAGAGUUUGGGGGUGCCGUGGGCCUCUGCUUCUACCUGGGCACUACCUUUGCUGGAGCCAUGUACAUCCUGGGCACCAUUGAAAUCCUGCUGAGUCUCACUCUGUUGCCCAGGCUGGAGGGCAGUGGUGCAAUCACUGGCAGCCUCCACUUCCCAGGUUCAAGUGAUCCCCCCCAGUUCAGCCUCCCAAGUAGCUAGCUUACCUCUUCCCAGCCAUGGCCAUAUUCAAGGCAGAAGAUGCCAGUGGGGAGGCAGCAGCCAUGCUGAACAACAUGCGUGUUUACGGCACCUGUGUGCUCACCUGCAUGGCCACUGUGGUGUUUGUGGGUGUCAAGUAUGUCAACAAGUUUGCCCUUGUCUUCCUGGGUUGUGUCAUCCUCUCCAUCCUGGCCAUCUAUGCUGGGGUCAUCAAGUCUGCCUUCGACCCACCCAACUUCCCGUGAGUGCUGCUACUCUGAGCCCAAGGAAUCGUCCUCCAACCUCCCUGGCCCUGUUUCAGAGUCUCUGCCAAACUCCCCCUCCCUGGCCCUCAGAAUCUUAGAGUGGUGUGGGUUGGGAGCAGCUUCCCUUGGGAGGGAAAAUCUCCCUUGGUUUGGGGGCAAUCUCUUCAGAGUGAGGUAACUUUUCUGGAGGAGGGAACAAUUUACCUUGUAAGAGUCAACUUCUUGCUGGUAGGGGGGACUUAGGAAGAAUUCAGUGGGAAUGGGUUCCAAACAAUGAAUACUGUCUGUGGUAGGGAAACCUUUCCUGGGUGGUGACAACCUCCUGGAAUGGGACAGUCUCCUAGUGUUGGACAACUCCUCCAGGAUGGGAAAAGACACAGAAAUCUAGAGGGUCCAGGGGCUCAGGUCCAAGUCCACUCCAUCCACUGCUCAGAGGUGGAGGGCGUCCCCCGAGACCGCUGUCCACGGUGCUGAAACACAGCAUUGCACUAACGCGAUGCUUCACCACCUUGGCUGCUUAUUAGAAUCACUUGGGGAGCUUAAGAAAAAAAAAAAAAGCCAAU
rnacentral:sRNA from 1 species